UCAGUAAAGCUUUCUUUUCUCAUUUCCAGAAUUUGAUUUAAAUAAUAAUUAAAUAAUAAUAAUGCAGAUAAAACCAUUAAUCUGGAGAAGAUCGCUUGUCUGAGACAUGGGGAAAUCCAGGUUCAAGGAAUGGCACUGCUUGAUUUAGAGCAUGUGUUUCCCACCUCCCAGACACAGGAUAUGGCCUGGCCUAGGGCCAUACUGCUUUGUCCAAAUCCUCUUACUCCACUAUGCAAGAAUCACAGCCAUAAAUCAGCGUCAGAACAAAGACAGAUGAACAGAUAA
rnacentral:lncRNA from 1 species